rnacentral:rRNA from 1 species
AACACCGUCUUAUUCUUCGCGGAGCUGGCGCUGCUGCAGUAUGGUCUAGUGCAGUCCAAGCCCUCCAUGGUCGCCGCGACUGCUGUCUACGCGGCCAGGCUCCCCCUAAAGAAGACCCCUCUGUGGACCGACACUCUGAAGCACCACACUGGCUUGACUGAAGCACAGCUGAUGGACGCGGCCAAGAUCCUGGUGGCCUCGCACUCCACCGCGCCUGACAGCAAGCUGAAGGUCGUCUACAAGAAGUACUCGAGCGAUAAGCUGGGAGGAGUCGCCCUUCCAGAUUAG